rnacentral:sRNA from 1 species
GCCCGCUCAUCACCAUUUCAUAUAGUUAGCUGUUGUUGUUGUUGUUGUUCUUCAUAUUUUUUCUAAGGCCAUAUGCAGUCUGAGACUAUGACAGCCUUCACCUCACUAGCCUACCCUUAUGUUCGGCUACUCUCUAGUUACAUUUCUCUAUCCAUAACUGAGUCAUCCUUGAUGGAGAGACUUCACUAUACCAUUCUGGAUCUAGCCCUCAAGGGGGGCCUUGCCCCACAAUUGCUCACGCAAUACUAAGCAGUCCCUUGUCACUCAGACUAGACAUGUAAGAAUCACAACACCUUAGGAUCCCACACUAUACUGAAUCCAUCUAGACUAUAUACAUAGUGUUGAACAUUGCUCCACCCUGCAGUGGCAGUUACCAAUAGAAAUGAGAUAAGAAAGGGUACCCCUAAUAUCCACCAAGAUGUGAUAAUAUCCUUUUGGAGAAGGUGGGAUUCGAACCCACUACCUUCUUGUCUCAGCAGUGGUGGCCCCAACACCAAGUGCCUACUUGAGAAAGUAUUCCAUGAACAGCGCUUACCACUACGCCAUCCACCCCCCCUCAUAUAGUUAGCGAAUUACGAAGCGAGUACCAUAGAGUCUAAUCCCACACAUAUGUCCAGUGUCAGACAUCAUCGUUGUUUAGCGCUCACCCCGUUUGUUUAAAUUCAAGUUCUUCUUGGGUUCAACGGGUCUUCUGUGAAUGACCCAGUCCUAUACGCGAUAGUUAUUCGUUGCGGAGUUCAUAUUAACCUACACACAAAAACUGAUUCCCCCUUCUUGCGGAGAUAUGGUAAUUUCACUUCUGUAACGUAUUUCACCACGAACUUGUGAUGUGAUAUAAAAACUCUAUUUAAUAGCUUGCUUAGCUUCACCAUAUAUAGGUUACUGGUCACAGACACCAAUGUCAAAGGUGUUGUACACAGGCUCUGUACAACUGGAGUACGGAAGAAAGACAAGAAAAGAAAGAAAAGAAAAAAGAUUGUAC